rnacentral:rRNA from 1 species
AUUGAACGCUGGCGGCAGGCCUAACACAUGCAAGUCGAGCGGUUGACGGGAGCUUGCUCCCUGAUUCAGCGGCGGACGGGUGAGUAAUGCCUAGGAAUCUGCCUAUUAGUGGGGGACAACGUUUCGAAAGGAACACUAAUACCGCAUACGUCCUACGGGAGAAAGCAGGGGACCUUCGGGCCUUGCGCUAAUAGAUGAGCCUAGGUCGGAUUAGCUUGUUGGUGAGGUAAUGGCUCACCAAGGCGACGAACCGUAACUGGUCUGAGAGGAUGAUCAGUCACACUGGAACUGAGACACGGUCCAGACUCCUACGGGAGGCAGCAGUGGGGAAUAUUGGACAAUGGGCGAAAGCCUGAUCCAGCCAUGCCGCGUGUGUGAAGAAGGUCUUCGGAUUGUAAAGCACUUUAAGUUGGGAGGAAGGGUUGUAGAUUAAUACUCUGCAAUUUUGACGUUACCGACAGAAUAAGCACCGGCUAACUCUGUGCCAGCCGCCGCGGUAAAAC